GAUGAACGCUGGCGGCGUGCCUAAUACAUGCAAGUCGAGCGAACAGACGAGGAGCUUGCUCCUUUGACGUUAGCGGCGGACGGGUGAGUAACACGUGGAUAACCUACCUAUAAGACUGGGAUAACUUCGGGAAACCGGAGCUAAUACCGGAUAAUAUAUUGAACCGCAUGGUUCAAUAGUGAAAGACGGUUUUGCUGUCACUUAUAGAUGGAUCCGCGCCGCAUUAGCUAGUUGGUAAGGUAACGGCUUACCAAGGCGACGAUGCGUAGCCGACCUGAGAGGGUGAUCGGCCACACUGGAACUGAGACACGGACCAGGCGCCUACGGGAGGCAGCAGUAGGGAAUCUUCCGCAAUGGGCGAAAGCCUGACGGAGCAACGCCGCGUGAGUGAUGAAGGUCUUCGGAUCGUAAAACUCUGUUAUUAGGGAAGAACAAAUGUGGAAGUAACUGUGCACGUCUUGACGGUACCUAAUCAGAAAGCCACGGCUAACUACGUG
rnacentral:rRNA from 1 species